CGGAACGGGUGGGUAACGCGUGAGGAACCUGCCUCCAAGAGGGGACGAACAGUUGGAAACGACUGCUAAUACCGCAUAAGCCCACAGGUCGGCAUCGACCAGAGGGAAAAAGAGCAAUCCGCUUUGAGAUGGCCUCGCGUCCGAUUAGCUAGUUGGUGAGGUAAUAGCCCACCAAGGCGACGAUCGGUAGCCGGACUGAGAGGUUGAACGGCCACAUUGGGACUGAGACACGGCCCAG
rnacentral:rRNA from 1 species